rnacentral:rRNA from 1 species
AGGCUGAAAUUCGCCUGUAUGAAGCCGGAAUUGCUAGUAAUGGCAGGUCAGCAUACUGCCGUGAAUACGUUCCCGGGCCUUGUACACACCGCCCGUCACACCAUGAGAGUCGGGAACACCCAAAGUCCGUAGUCUAACCGCAAGGAGGACGCGGCCUAAGGUGGGUUCAUAAUUGGGGGUGAAGUCGUAACAAGGUAGC